rnacentral:piRNA from 1 species
UGUGAAGAUGGAAGAACGCCCA